rnacentral:rRNA from 1 species
GAUUCUGGCUCAGGAUGAACGCUGGCGGCGCGCUUAACACAUGCAAGUCGAACGAUUAAAGCACCUUCGGGUGUGUAUAAAGUGGCGAACGGCUGAGUAACACGUGGGCAACCUGCCCCUCUCAUCGGGAUAGCCUCGGGAAACCGUGGAUAAUACCGAAUACUCCGAUUAUCUCGCAUGGGAUUUUCGGGAAAGCUCCGGCGGAGAGGGAUGGGCCCGCGGCCUGUUAGCUUGUUGGUGGGGUAACGGCCUACCAAGGCUAUUAUGGGUAGCCGGGUUGAGAGACCGACCGGCCAGAUUGGGACUGAGACACGGCCCAGACUCCUACGGGAGGCAGCAGUGGGGAAUCUUGCACAAUGGGCGCAAGCCUGAUGCAGCCGACGCCGCGUGCGGGAUGAAGGCCUUCGGGUUGUAAACCGCUUUCAGCAGGGACGAGGCCGCAAGGUGACGGUACCUGCAGAAGAAGCCCCGGCUAACUACGUGCCAGCAGCAGC